AACCUAGCACACCUGCGGUGUGUACCUGCGGAAGGAUCAUUACAAGUGACCCCGGUCUAACCACCGGGAUGUUCAUAACCCUUUGUUGUCCGACUCUGUUGCCUCCGGGGCGACCCUGCCUUCGGGCGGGGCUCCGGGUGGACACUUCAAACUCUUGCGUAACUUUGCAGUCUGAGUAAACUUAAUUAAUAAAUUAAAACUUUCAACAAUGGAUCU
rnacentral:misc_RNA from 1 species